rnacentral:tRNA from 1 species
GCAUUCGUGGUGUAGUUGGUUAUCAUACCAGUCUAUCAAACUGGUGGUCACCCCAGUUCGAGCCAGAGCGAAAUCA